GACGCUGGCGGUAGGCUUAACACAUGCAAGUCGUGCGAGAAAGUAUCUUCGGAUAUGAGUAGAGCGGCGGACGGGUGAGUAACGCGUAGGAAUCUACCUAGUAGAAGGGGAUAGCCCGGGGAAACUCGGAUUAAUACCGUAUACCUCCUUCGGGAGAAAGAAGGCCUCUCUUUGAAGCUUUCGCUAUUAGAUGAGCCUGCGUAAGAUUAGCUUGUUGGUGAGGUAAAGGCUCACCAAGGCGACGAUCUUUAGCGGGUCUGAGAGGACGAUCCGCCACAUUGGGACUGAGACACGGCCCAGACUCCUACGGGAGGCAGCAGUGGGGAAUAUUGGACAAUGGGCGCAAGCCUGAUCCAGCCAUACCGCGUGUGUGAAGAAGGCCCUAGGGUUGUAAAGCACUUUAAGUUGGGAAGAAAAGUUAUUGGUUAAUAUCCAAUAACCGUGACAUUACCAUCAGAAUAAGGACCGGCUAAUUCCGUGCCAGCAGCCGCGGUAAUACGGAAGGUCCAAGCGUUAAUCGGAAUUACUGGGCGUAAAGCGCGCGUAGGUGGUUUAUUAAGUUGGAUGUGAAAUCCCCGGGCUCAACCUGGGAACUGCAUCCAAAACUGAUUCACUAGAGUACGAUAGAGGGAGGUAGAAUUCACAGUGUAGCGGUGGAAUGCGUAGAUAUUGUGAAGAAUACCAAUGGCGAAGGCAGCCUCCUGGAUCUGUACUGACACUGAGGUGCGAAAGCGUGGGUAGCGAACAGGAUUAGAUACCCUGGUAGUCCACGCCGUAAACGAUGUCAACUAGCUGUUGGAGAACUAUGUUCUUCAGUGGCGCAGCUAACGUAGUAAGUUGACCGCCUGGGGAG
rnacentral:rRNA from 1 species